UAUAUUACUGACAGAGAUAUGCCACUAUAUCGAGGCCCCGAGGCUCCACUUAUUUCCCUCACUCUCGACAAAGACAAGUACGUGCCGACUGACAAAGCCACGGUAUCUAUUGUGUCAGAGAUUGCAGAUCGCGACGUACUCCUCACGAUGGAGAGAGGUAGAGUCGACAGGACUCAAGUAGUACAUAUUGAUGGCAAAAGCAAAGAUGUAGAAAUAGAGCUCAAGGCAAUCGCGUCGGACAAUUUUGCGGUGGAGUAUCGCUCCAACGCAAUGAAAAAGUAUUCAGAAGAAAGGCCAUACGAUGUUUGUAUGGCGGUGCCGUUUGCAUCCGCGCACAUUAUGGCGGAUGGGUCGGUCUACAGUUGCUCCGCUCACUUGAUGGACCAGAGAUUUUAUCUCGGGAAUACCUCCUUAGAAAUAAUCAUAGUAUUUAGAGCGUGUAUGAUGAACAUUUUUGGAUUAGAUAGCCAAAAAAUACGCAUUGCUCAAAAAAUGGUAAAUGGAAAACCUUAUUAUAAAGCCGUUGUUAAUAGUGGUCAUUAUGGUAAUCAAUUGAUUGCUCAGUAUGGCACAUUUAGAACACUUGCUUAUAAGGAUGAAAAUGGAGAGAAGUUAUAUCCAUAUGCUCAUUUACCUUUUAAUACCUCUUCAAAUCAGAAAGAAGUUUCAGAUUUUUUGAGAGCAGCAUUUAGUUGUGAUGGGGGAGUAAAUUUAUAUAUUGGAAAAUCAAAGACUGGUUAUAAGUCUUUGAUUCGGAAUGUAUUUUUAUCCUGUCACCAUCCAAAACUUCAACACGAUUAUUGCGAUCUUUUAUCCUCUCUAGAGAUUAAGGCUAGAUUGCUUUUGAAAGAUAACAAAAUUCGUAUUGAAAGAAGAGAAGAUUUACAGAAAUUCCAAGAAAAAGUUGGCUUUCUCAAAGGUGUGAAGAUUACUCAGCAUUCCAAGUAUUGGCAAGGCUGGGAAAAGAAUAUUGUGUUAGAUCUCGCAUUAUCUUCAUAUGGUAAUGUGGGGAGCAUUCUUAAUCUUCCUCAGUUUUCUUAGGAUAAUGAUAUAGUCCGAUCUCAUGGGCGACCAUGAGCAUGUUGUUAACAGAUAACAACAGCCAUCUUUUUUAAAAGAUAGUAACAGGGUCUGUAGAGACCCCUGUAGUCCUAGCCGUAAACUCUGGCAGGAACGAGCGCAACCCCUGCCGUGUGUUGCAUUUCACACGGGACUGCCCAUCUUCAAGAUGGGAGGAAGGAGGGGACGAAGUCAAGUCAGCACGUCCCUUACAGUAAUAACAUCAAAUGUCUGUACAGAAGUCUGCAGAUACCAUAGUAUGCCUUUCCAUUUCAGGGAGGCAGAAGGGUAAAUUUCGCUUUAUUAUAGAAGCGGAACGUCGGCCAGGAUACGGGAAAACCGUGUGUCCGGUCGGGAGAGAAGCAAUACUCAGCAAUGAGAUGACUAUCUCAGAACACUGCCCGUCAAAUGAGUGAAGUUGGCAACGCCCGAAGUGGAUGUCUUUAACUCGCAAGAGGGAAGCGCUACUACGGCGAGGUCAAUGACAAGCGUUAAGUCGUCAGUCAAAAUAGAUUGAUAUAGCGACCUUUUCGAGUAAUUGAAAAGAAAAAAUUGGCUGAUAUCGGUGAAGUCUACGUGUUUGCGUAAAAACAUACAUAUGAGAAUACCGAGGGAAGCUCGAUGUCUAAUCACCGUCGUAGCCCCGUAGAGACUAAUAUAGAGGGUACCAGAUAAUCUGGAACUAAACUUCUAUUACACGCCGACGCCUUGUUUAAAAAACAAGGAUGAAGAUAUAGUCCAUGCCGGACGAAAGUCCCGGAAAAACAUGAACAAGGUAUCCCUACUGGAAGGUGGGGAUGGAUCACCUCCUU
rnacentral:rRNA from 1 species